rnacentral:rRNA from 1 species
GGACGGGUGAGUAACGCGUGGGAACGUGCCCUUUGGUUCGGAACAACACAGGGAAACUUGUGCUAAUACCGGAUGUGCCCUUCGGGGGAAAGAUUUAUCGCCAUUGGAGCGGCCCGCGUUGGAUUAGGUAGUUGGUGGGGUAAUGGCCCACCAAGCCGACGAUCCAUAGCUGGUCUGAGAGGAUGAUCAGCCACACUGGGACUGAGACACGGCCCAGACUCCUACGGGAGGCAGCAGUGGGGAAUCUUGCGCAAUGGGCGAAAGCCUGACGCAGCCAUGCCGCGUGAAUGAUGAAGGUCUUAGGAUUGUAAAAUUCUUUCACCGGGGAAGAUAAUGACGGUACCCGGAGAAGAAGCCCCGGCUAACUUCGUGCCAGCAGCCGCGGUAAUACGAAGGGGGCUAGCGUUGCUCGGAAUUACUGGGCGUAAAGGGCGCGUAGGCGGACAGUUAAGUCAGAGGUGAAAGCCCAGGGCUCAACCUUGGAAUUGCCUUUGAUACUGGCUGUCUUGAGUUCGGGAGAGGUGAGUGGAAUGCCGAGUGUAGAGGUGAAAUUCGUAGAUAUUCGGCGGAACACCAGUGGCGAAGGCGACUCACUGGCCCGAUACUGACGCUGAGGCGCGAAAGCGUGGGGAGCAAACAGGAUUAGAUAACCUGGUAGUCCACGCUGUAAACGAUGAGUGCUAGUUGUCAGCAUGCAUGCAU